AGCUCUACUAGCAUAUGUUAACGUUGCUGCAGUUAAAACGCUCGUAGUUGGGGUUUGGUGCUGGACGGAACGAUUUCGAAAGAAAUUGCGAAGGACGGCCUUUUGUGUGGUACACCUUGUUAACUCAAGUUGCGCCGGUAACCUUGAAAAAUAUUAACGCUCAAACUUGGACUUUGGUUCCAGUUCUUUCUGCAUGGGAU
rnacentral:rRNA from 1 species